GGCGGCAGUCCUAAUACAUGCAAGUCGAGGGGUGUAUUACUUCCGGGAGAUAGAGAGCGGCGUACGACUGCGUAACACUUCUGCAACCUGUGCACUACUGGGGGAUAGCCCAGGGAAACUCGGAUUAAUACCCCAUAACACCGCGAUAUCGUAUGGAUAGAUUGUUAGAGAUCUAUCGGUAGCGGAUGUGCAUGCGUCCGAGUAGCUAGUUGGUAGUGUCACGGACUACCACGGCGACGAUCCGUAGGGGGUCUGAGAGGAUGAUCCCCCACACUGGUACUGAGAUACGGACCAGACUCCUACGGGAGGCAGCAGUGGAGAAUAUUGGACAAUGGAGGCAACUCUGACCCAGCCAUGCCGCGU
rnacentral:rRNA from 1 species